rnacentral:rRNA from 1 species
GAUGAACGCUGGCGGCGUGCCUAAUACAUGCAAGUCGAGCGAACAGACGAGGAGUUUGCUCCUCUGACGUUAGCGGCGGACGGGUGAGUAACACGUGGAUAACCUACCUAUAAGACUGGGAUUACUUCGGGAAACCGGAGCUAAUACCGGAUAAUAUAUUGAACCGCAUGGUUCAAUAGUGAAAGACGGUUUUGCUGUCACUUAUAGAUGGAUCCGCGCCGCAUUAGCUAGUUGGUAAGGUAACGGCUUACCAAGGCAACGAUGCGUAGCCGACCUGGGAGGGUGAUCGGCCACACCGGAACUGAGACACGGUCCAGACUCCGACGGGAGGCAGCAGUAGGGAAUGUUACGCAAUGGGCGAAAGCCUGACGGAGCAACGCCGCGUGAGUGAUGAAGGUCUUCGGAUCGUAAAACUCUGUUAUUAGGGAAGAACAAAUGUGUAAGUAACUAUGCACGUCUUGACGGUACCUGAACAGAAAGCCACGGCUAACUACGUG